rnacentral:rRNA from 1 species
GAUGAACGCUAGCUACAGGCUUAACACAUGCAAGUCGAGGGGAAACGACAUCGAAAGCUUGCUUUUGAUGGGCGUCGACCGGCGCACGGGUGAGUAACGCGUAUCCAACCUUCCCGCAAGUAAGGGAUAACCCGUAGAAAUGCGGCCUAAUACCUUAUGUUUUCCUUAGAGGGCAUCUGAUGAGGAACAAAGAUCCGUCGCUUGCGGAUGGGGAUGCGUCUGAUUAGCUUGUUGGCGGGGUAACGGCCCACCAAGGCAACGAUCAGUAGGGGUUCUGAGAGGAAGGUCCCCCACAUUGGAACUGAGACACGGUCCAAACUCCUACGGGAGGCAGCAGUGAGGAAUAUUGGUCAAUGGGCGAGAGCCUGAACCAGCCAAGUAGCGUGCAGGACGACGGCCCUAUGGGUUGUAAACUGCUUUUAUAAGGGAAUAAAGUGAGUCUCGUGAGACUUUUUGCAUGUACCUUAUGAAUAAGGACCGGCUAAUUCCGUG